rnacentral:tRNA from 1 species
AAGUUUAGGUUCACUAAACCCCGAGCCUUCAAAGCACUAAACAGGGGAUCAAAGCCCUAACUUCUG